GGGGGGAGGGGGCCCAGAGGGUGGGGGCACCCUCAGGGCACUAUAGUGCCAGGAAAACGAGUAGGUUUUCCUGGCAAUAUGGUGGUCCUUUAACUCCACCUCUAGUGGCUGUCUAGUAGACAGCCACUAGAGGGCACUUCCUGAUUCAUAGCAAAGAUUUUCUUUGCUAGAGCGUCGCUGGCCAUCCUCACGCUGUGUGAGGACCUCCAGUGUCG